ACGGAUCAUUCAAGUGUCUGCCCUAUCACUUUCGUCGGUACGGUAUUUGCCUACCGAGGUUCUUACGGGUGACGGGGAAUCAGGGUUCGAUUCCGGAGAGGGAGCCUGAGAAACGGCUACCACAUCCAAGGAAGGCAGCAGGCGCGCAAAUUACCCAUUCCCGACGCGGGGAGGUAGUGACGAAAAAUAACAAUGCAGGACUCGUUCGAGGCCCUGUAAUUGGAAUGAGUACACUUUAAAAGCUUUAACGAGUAUCCAUUGGAGGGCAAGUCUGGUGCCAGCAGCCGCGGUAAUUCCAGCUCCAAAAGUAUAUAUUUAAGUUGUUGCGGUUAAAAAGCUCGUAGUUGGAUUUUGGGCGCAGGCGGCCGGUCCGUCGCAAGGCGUGUACUGGACGUCCUGGCCUUCCCUCCGGUUCUCCGCCGGUGCUCUUGACUGAGUGUCGGCGGCGGCCGGAACGUUUACUUUGAAAAAAUUAGAGUGUUCAAAGCAGGCUCUCGAGCCUGGAUAAUGGUGCAUGGAAUAAUGGAAUAGGACCUCGGUUCUAUUUUGUUGGUUUUCGGAGCGCGAGGUAAUGAUUAAGAGGGACAGACGGGGGCAUUCGUACUGUGCCGUUAGAGGUGAAAUUCUUGGAUCGGCGCAAGACGAACGACUGCGAAAGCAUUUGCCAAGAAUGUUUUCUUUAAUCAAGAGCGAAAGUCAGAGGUUCGAAG
rnacentral:ncRNA from 1 species